GGAGGAGUGGCUGAGUGGUUUAAGGCAACGGUCUUGAAAACCGUCGUCCAUGUAAGUGGACCGUGAGUUCGAAUCUCACCUCCUCCG
rnacentral:tRNA from 1 species